AAACCAACAGGGAUUGCCUCAGUAACGGCGAGUGAAGCGGCAAAAGCUCAAAUUUGAAAUCUGGCACUUUCGGUGUCCGAGUUGUAAUUUGAAGAAGGUAACUUUGGAGUUGGCUCUUGUCUAUGUUCCUUGGAACAGGACGUCACAGAGGGUGAGAAUCCCGUGCGAUGAGAUGUCCAAUUCUAUGUAAAGUGCUUUCGAAGAGUCGAGUUGUUUGGGAAUGCAGCUCUAAGUGGGUGGUAAAUUCCAUCUAAAGCUAAAUAUUGGCGAGAGACCGAUAGCGAACAAGUACAGUGAUGGAAAGAUGAAAAGAACUUUGAAAAGAGAGUGAAAAAGUACGUGAAAUUGUUGAAAGGGAAGGGCUUGAGAUCAGACUUGGUAUUUUGCAAGCUUUACCUUCGUGGUGGAGUCCCCUGCAGUUUACUGGGCCAGCAUCGGUUUGGAUGGUAGGAUAAUGACUUGGGAAUGUGGCUUUGCUUCGGUAAAGUGUUAUAGCCCUUGUUGAUGCUACCUGUCUAGACCGAGGACUGCGUCUUUGACUAGGAUGUUGGCAUAAUGAUCUUAAGUCGCCCGUCUUGAAA
rnacentral:rRNA from 1 species